UACGUAGGGACCGAGCGUUGUCCGGAAUCAUUGGGCGUAAAGAGCGUGUAGGCGGCCACUUAAGUCCUGCGUGAAAUCUUGCGGCUCAACCGCAAGCGGUCGUGGGAAACUGGGUGGCUAGAGUGCGGGAGAGGAGAGUGGAAUUCCGGGUGUAGCGGUGGAAUGCGUAGAGAUCCGGAAGAACACCGGUGGCGAAGGCGGUCUGCUGGGCAGUUGCUGACGCUGAUGCGCGACAGCGUGGGGAGCAAACAGG
rnacentral:rRNA from 1 species